AGCGAACGCUGGCGGCAGGCUUAACACAUGCAAGUCGAGCGGGCAUCCUUGUGGUGUCAGCGGCAGACGGGUGAGUAACGCGUGGGAACGUGCCCUUCGGUUCGGAAUAACUCAGGGAAACUUGAGCUAAUACCGGAUACGUGCGAGAGCAGAAAGGUUUAUCUGCCGAAGGAUCGGCCCGCGUCUGAUUAGCUAGUUGGUGAGGUUAUGGCUCACCAAGGCGACGAUCAGUAGCUGGUCUGAGAGGAUGAUCAGCCACACUGGGACUGAGACACGGCCCAGACUCCUACGGGAGGGAGCAGUGGAGAAUAUUGGACGCUGGGGGCAACCCUAAUACAGCCGUGCCGCGUGAGUGAUGACGGCCUUAGGGUUGUACAGCUCUUUUCUACGGGACGAUAAUGACGGUAACGGAGGAAUAAGCCCCGGCUAACUUCGUG
rnacentral:rRNA from 1 species